UUAACUGAAACCAAAAAGAGGUAUAUUACUGUUAAUAAUAAAAUUGAAUAAAUAUUCCAGUUAAA
rnacentral:tRNA from 1 species